GUACAGAAGUGGCAUUCAGCCUUUGACAAGCGAAGAGCUACUUUGUCAUCAAACAGAGGCUCACAAAACCAUGAAAGAAUGAACUGAAUUUAAAAUGGAGAAAUGUGCACAGGCAGUUUAUGCGAGAGUUAAUACACUGCUCCAAACAAGUCAGCAAAAUCCACAGCCAGGAACAGUGGUUUUCGGAGCACAGCCAAAGACCCGGACUCAUUGGCUAUCCGUCACCUGUCGCAGAAGACCAGCUCUGUGUGUUUUUACAUUGGCACAGCUGUCCUGGAUGCAGCUUGCAGCCAGGACUGCAUUUGUACACAGCCAAAGUGGAUCUCAAGCAUUCCUGCGCCUCUAGCAGUUUGACCUCCACCCACAGCAGAUAAGUAACUCAGAUGGGGCUGUUCUUGUUAAUCUGCAGAAAAGAAGAGAUGUCCUUGAUGCACCAUAUACAUGUGACGCAUAUGACAAGUGUUAGCUGUGUCUCAGUGAAAGCUGAAAAUUCUUUCCUUCUUCAGGCUGCCACUCCAG
rnacentral:lncRNA from 1 species